rnacentral:misc_RNA from 1 species
GGAUACUGAGUCUGACUCUGGUGAAUUUUGGGUCCUAUUUGGUGGCUUUGCACCCAUUGGGAAGAAAGUCGCAAGUGAAGAUGAUAUAAUUCCAGAACCUGCUCCUGCUAAGCUUCUCAGCAUUGAUGGUGGUGAAGUAAAAGUUGUUGAUGGCGAACUAUCAAAAUCCAUACUGGAAAAUAAUAAGUGUUAUCUGCUGGACUGUGGUGCUGAAAUAUUUGUUUGGGUUGGAAGAGUGACACAAGUAGAGGAGCGAAAAGCAGCAAUACAAGUAGCUGAGGAAUUUAUUGCCAGCCAGAAUAGGCCAAAGGCAACUCGUGUUACUCGGGUUAUACAAGGUUAUGAAACACAUUCUUUUAAGUCCAACUUCGAGUCCUGGCCAGUUGGAUCAGUGACUACAGGUGCCGAGGAAGGAAGAGGAAAAGUAGCUGCUCUAUUGAAGCAACAAGGUCUUGGUCUCAAGGGAUUAACAAAAAGUGCACCAGUGAAUGAGGAUGUUCCACCGUUGCUGGAGGGAGGCGGGAAAAUGGAGGUAUGGCGAAU